UGAAUUAUGGGUAAUUAGGUUUUGAUUCAAGUUUAGGGUAGCAUUUGUGAAGGAUUUUGAUGUAACUUUUCUUUAAUCGGAGCAUAAUUUCGGUUCGAAAUUGAAUAAGAGCUGCGAAUUAUCUUCGACAGGUGCGAAAACGAAAAACGGUUCUACCGAAUCUGAAGAUCCAUGGAAAAUCCAAUCAUGAAACAGGGACAAAGCUCUACUCAUUUCACACAUUGCAAUUGUGGGGAAUACUGCACAAAGUACGUACGUGUAAAUUACUAGAUUCCGACAUUAAUUCUUAUCGCUUCUGAUUAAACAAAGUAUGUGUAACUGUUUAUUAAUUUGUUCUCCUCUGUAGAUUUUGUGUAUGUGUUGCCUAUGAUAAAUUCUGCGGGGAAUCUUGUCCUUGCAAAGAUUGCUGGAACACUCCGCGAAACAUAGUCGAAGUUCUCAGACGAAGGAUCGAAACUCAGAAUAUGAUUCAUCAGUCCCUCGAGAGAAAAUGUGCAGAGUUUGCAGUCGAAAUCGCAUCAAGCAAUGAAGACAACAAGAAGACUGAAAGCGAUGCCUUAGUGUCGGAAGAUAGUUCUGAUGAUAAUAAUAACACUGCUUCGUCUAAUUCGUUAUUCGAAUCUCCCACCAAACGUGCCAAGACAUCUGCGAGUUCUAUUGGAGUGCUGGUGCAGUGUGGUUGCGAUUGUAAGGAGAAUCAUUGUCUGGGAUUUUGGUGUACUUGUUUUCGUACUAAGGAGUUCUGUUCGAAAAAAUGUACUUGUCGAGAAUGCUGUAACAAUGAGAAACAUAAGGAGAAGGUUAUGAUACCACGUGCUAUAAAACAAGAAGAGAUCUGCAGUUCUAGUGGAGUGCAGUGUGCUUGCGAUUGUAAGGAGAAUCAUUGUCUGGGAUUUUGGUGUACUUGUUUUCGUACUAAGGAGUUCUGUUCGAAAAAAUGUACUUGUCGAGAAUGCUGUAACAAUGAGAAACAUAAGGAGAAGGUUAUGAUGUCACGUGCUAUAAAACAAGAAGAGAUCUGCAGUUGCAAGACUGGUUUAUGUACCACAGAUCUCUGUUACUGCCACGCCGUACGUUUUUUUUUUUCGUUUUUUUCCGUUUUCGAUUGGUUUGCUCUGCUUUUUAUUUUCGUGAAACGAUUCUUAUUGAAUGAAACCUUUUUUUCUUUUUUUGGGGGAUAAGUACAAACGAGGUUGCUGGGAGGACUGUGACUGUGAAGGAUGUAGCAAUAUCUAUGGUUCUAAACCGAAAUGAAGUAUGACUGUGUCGGUGAAAAAUCGAAGAGCUGCCCGUAGUUGAAGAAUCGAAGAGCUGUUUCGGAAGUUGAAGAAUUUUACGCGUAAUCUUGUGCAUUAAACAGAUUUAGUUGUGUGUAAAUUUGUUGUUUCAUAAACUUUAGUGAAUUGCUGCUAAGUAUAGUGAAUGUUCAUAAACUACUGCUGAGUCAUGAUCAUUAGUUCUAUUGGAUUAACUGUUCUUCCAAGUUUCAAGGGAAAAUAAUCACAAAAAAUAACAUGUCUUUCUAAAUAAUUUAUAACUAUAUCAAUAUUAUUGUUUAUUGUUAUUAUAUGUU